ACUUAACAGAUACUGUUGAAAUGGAAGAGAAAUGAGUUAGAUAUUUGCAGCAAGCACAUGAAACAGGGUGUUUUCCAGAUAGAAGGUAAUUUAUGAAUUACAAAUUUAGAUUGACAAAUAACACAGAUCGUCAAAACUUCAGUCUUUUUCUUUUCUAAUGACUGUGCAAAAUUAUCAGGAACCUAAAAAAUUCAGAUCAAAAUAACAAUGUUGGUUCGCUUUCCCAAUGGACCAGGCUAUGUAUCAGUGCUUAAAUUUUCCAUGUCAAGUUUAGGAGGAAAUUGUCCUAUAUGAUGUAAAUAAACACAAAAAUAUGCAUGAUGGACAAUACAGUAACUUUUUCAAUCAUUCUGCUAACAACAAUUCUUCAUGCUGGAAGUAGGACAACUGAAAUGGAUUUCAAUCACUUAGUGAUCAAUCAAAUUUUCCAGUGGCUUCUUCAGAGGAGAGAAUGGAAAUAAGAAUUUUGUAAUGGCUCCCCAGGAGAAGGACCAAGUAUCCAUGUAACCCAUAUACUCGAAGGAAAGAAAAGAUCUUUGAUAAGAUUUCACAUACAGUUGCAGCUCCUAAGCUACAGCAACAUGCUUCAGUAUUUAAAAGUGAUAAAUAGUAAAGAAUUCAAAAUACAAUAAUCAAAUGUUCUGUUUUGUUUAGCAGAUUGAAAAAUGGGGAGGAAAAUACGGUCUCAUUCAUGCAUUAUUGACAUUUUUCGAGGGCAUAAACAAGGUUCAACAUACCAAAUAAAUAUGAUAUUAUAAUCUUCCCGAUCAAAGUCGACAGAGAUGCUUAAUUUCUUCAGAAAAGAAUCCAUAACAGCUCAAGCAAGCCUCUAACUACUGGUAAGAGAGCCAGACACAAGCCAACCACUCAAUGCAUAAUGCCUUAUUUCAAAAUUUCCCCAAAGACACCAUAAAAUAAUGAAGCAAAAUUAUCUAACUUCAGUGGCAUGUAAUAUCAAAAAGAAGCAAAGAAACUUCUGCAAAUUUCUGAAGUUAUAGAUGAGAAUGCGUCUUUAAACUCGGCUCAUAUAGUUUAUAUUCCUAUUUUCCAACAAUUUCGUCUUCUAUCCUCUCUUAUUUGACAUCUCGUAUGCAAGUUAUAUUAACUUUACACUUGUAUAUCAAUCUACUAGAUUCAAGG
rnacentral:lncRNA from 1 species